CAGUCAGUCCAUUUCACAAGUGACGUUUUUCUUUUAAUAAUGGGUUCGAUGAAGAAGAUGUAGCAUGAUCGCGUUGAAUAAGGUGUUACCAUGGCUACUAUGGACACGCUGCUGCCUUUUCCUUGACAAUAACCCAGGUCGUGAUGUCCCACACCCGGUGCAUCGUGACGGUCUGGAGACAGAGCGCAACCACCAUCUGGAUGGAAUGGUACAUGACAGAACAGCCUCAUUAAGUGGAGAGAAGCACCUCUGAAAUCCCUGAUGUGGAACUUCCAUUCCAGAACCAUCGCAAAACAUUGAACUAGGUAACAGCCGUGAUGUCUCUUAGGCUAGGCACCCCAAUUUGCAUCAGCCAUCACCAGUGUCCUCAAAGCGCCCAGCAUCCAUAAUUGCCUCUGGAAGCCUCCUGCUAAAGUGAAUGAAACAAAUAGGCCAUUAAAAUGCUGGGUACUUUUCACGGUACGUCACCCCCGG
rnacentral:lncRNA from 1 species